GAAGAUCUCUCUGUAGGGAAAGAUGAGGGGUGUGGAGUGAGGGGCAAAGGUGUGAGUGAGGGGGAAGGAGUGGUGAAGGGAGUUGAGUUUUAUGCCUCAAGGCCUACCGGAUUCCAGGUUUGUUAGAGACACUGGUGGGUCUGACAGGGGCAUUUGAACAAGAGCAACUCCAUCUCGAAUAGGAGCGGGGUUAAAUGAGGCUGAGACCUACUGGGCUGCAUUCCCAGACAGUUAAAGCAUUCUAAGUUACAGGAUGAGACAGGAGGUCAGCACAAGAUACAGGUCAUAAAGACCUUGCUGAUAAAACAGCUUGCAGUGAAGAAGCCGGGCAAAACCCACCAAAACCAAGACGGCGAUGUGACCUCUGGUUCACUCCCAUUGGCGCCAUGACAGUUUACAAAUGCCACAGCAACGUCUAGAAGUUACCCCUUGUUUCGCAUAUCAUCAAGAAAUAACCAUAAAAAUGAGCAAUCAGCAGCCCUCAGGGCUACUCUGUCUAUGGAGUAGCCAUUCUUUUAUUUCUUUACUUUCUUAAACUUGCUUCCACUUUACACUCGCCCUCAAAUCUUUCUUGCAUGAGAUCCAAGAAUCCGGUCUCUUGGGGUCUGGAUAAGGACCCUUUCCUGUAACAGGUCUAACCCCUUACAGCCUCCCCCCAGAUUAACUCAGACUGGAGCUGACCCUCAUGUAGCGCAGUCCUUAAAUGAGAUGCGUGAAAGUUUCCGGAACAUGCCAGGUCUGCAGUCAAGGAUUCUCUUAUUCCCUUGCCAAGGGACCCAAUCCUAAAUACCAUCUGUGGGGUUUGAACUUGAGUUUCCAACUCAGCAGUGCCCACUUCCUUCUACACCCAAACCCACACUCUAACCCUGACGCCGGAAGCCUUCCCCACUCAACAGCAGGCAUCAGGUGGCGUGAAAGCAGCCAGUCCAAACCAAGCCAGAGCCGUCUUUCGACUGACUACAGCCUGGAAAGGAGGCCAAGACCACUCUCUACCUCCAUGACUCCAUCUCUGAGUGGGUUUCACUUCCCACGCCUCCAACCUCAAGCUGCGGGAGAGGCGAGCAUAGAGGGAAGCGGAGCGGCUACGCAAAAGACAGCGGGGAGCGCGGGGUGGGGCCGCUCCUUGGAACAGAAGCUCGCGGCCUCGAGUCCCUUCCGGUGCGGGAGAAACUACUACUCCCAUAAUGCCCCGCGGUCCCGCGAGCCGCUUGUCUUGUCGCGAGAAGCAGCGGCCUGGGGCGUCUGCGCCGACAAACGGAAGUGCAGGUGA
rnacentral:lncRNA from 13 species